rnacentral:rRNA from 1 species
AGAAUCAACGCUGGCGGCGUGCCUAACGACAUGCAAGUCGAACGAGAAAGGGGAGCAAUCCCUGAGUAAAGUGGCGACCGGGUGAGUAACACGUGACUAACCUACCCUCGAGUGUGGAAUAACAUCGGGAAACCGAUGCUAAUACCGCAUAACAUCGGCGCUUUUAAGAGAUGCCGAUCAAAGGAGCAAUCCGCUUGAGGAGGGGGUCGCGGCUGAUUAGCUAGUUGGCGGGUAACGGCCCACCAAGGCGAAGAUCGGUAGCCGGCCUGAGAGGGCGCACGGCCACACUGGAACUGAAACACGGUCCAGACUCCUACGGGAGGCAGCAGUGGGGAAUUUUGCGCAAUGGGGGAAACCCUGACGCAGCAACGCCGCGUGGAGGAUGAAGCCCCUUGGGGCGUAAACUCCUUUCGACCAAGACGAUAAUGACGGUACUGGUGGAAGAAGCACCGGCUAACUCUGUGCCAGCAGCCGC